UAUAUCCAGUCUAUUAUCAGAUCAGUGACUAUCUCUCAAAAGUUCAUUCAACUUUGAUUUUGCAUUUGAAUUUCGUAUCAGAGUAAUCAUGCAGAUGCAUUUACAUGAAUUUUUGAAAAUUUUUGGCCAGAAGAAUCAUCACAAAGUUAUAUCUUUUGGACUGACAAGUGACCAAAGAUCUACUGUUGAUACAUUCACAGGACCAAAUUCCUGCACAGUAUCCCCAAGACACUGUCUUUCUAUAAAGGCAUUUAUUCGUUGCCUUGGAGUCAGAAACAAUGAAUUGUAUGUCAACUGUUUGCAAGUAUCAGUGUAGGUGCUAUAUUAUUUAAAAACAUAGUGCAUCAAGAUACAA